rnacentral:rRNA from 1 species
GUCUACGGCCAUGCCACCCUGAACGUGCCCGAUCUCAUUUGAUCUUGGAAGCUAAGCAGGGUCAAGCCUGGUUAGUACUUGAAUGGGAGACCACUCAAGAAUACCAGGCACUGUAGGCA